rnacentral:rRNA from 1 species
AGCAGCCGCGGUAAUUCCAGCUCCAAUAGCGUAUAUUAAAGUUGUUGCAGUUAAAAAGCUCGUAGUUGAAUUUCGGGGUCAGCAGGUUGGUCGUGCCACUGGUAUGCACUGGUCUCGCUGAUUCCUCCCUCUUGUAGAACCGUAAUGCCAUUAAGUUGGUGUUGCGGGGAAACAGGACUGUUACUUUGAAAAAUUAGAGUGUUUAAAGCAGGCUAACGCUUGAAUACAUUAGCAUGGAAUAAUGAAAUAGGACGAUCGAUCCUAUUUUGUUGGUUUCUAGGGUUGACGUAAUGAUUAAUAGGGAUAGUUGGGGCAUUAGUAUUCAAUUGUCAGAGGUGAAAUUCUUGGAUUUAUUGAAGACUAACUACUGCGAAAGCAUUUGCCAAGGAUGUUUUCAUUAAUACAAGAACGAAAGUUAGGGGAUCGAAGACGAUCAGAUACCGUCGUAGU